AUUUCCUCCCCAGGCAGCUGUCUGGCUGCUGGUGGUAGGUGGAAGUGAUUAUGUUCUGUCUGCAGAGUCACACGGGAGCUGAGGUGCUGAGGAGAUGUCAGUUGUUGCAGAGAUGUACCCAGCUACUGCAGCCUGUUUGCCGGUGCCUGUCUGAUUCCUGCUGGACUCCUUGGACCUUGCUUUGCUGUCUCUACUGGUACCCUGCUUGUGCCGAGGGGUGGCAGUGUUUGCUUCUAGAAAUGAGCCGCAUUAACCACGGGGACAGGAACUGCUUGAAAAGUCCGGCUGUUGUGUGCUGGCUGUGAUUUCCCCUGUGGGCUGUGCAGCGAGGUCCCAUUGCUCUUCCCUGAAAUGAUCCUGCCUUGUUACUGGAAAGGAUGCAGUGAGUUUUCCCAUCUUCCCCUUUCUUUGGCAUGGUGGACAGAGUUGGUACAUGGAUGCUUGGGGGGAGAUGAAUGAACCAAAUGCUGCACGGGCAUUGAUUUCUCUGAGCUGAUGCCACAGGGCCUGACAAAUUGCCUAAGGAGAAUUCACAGACCAAAUCCAUCAAGUAAGUAAAUGGAAAUUCAACUAAUAAAACAGAGCUCUUUGUGCUCUAAGUUCAACCGGGCAGCUGGCAUGGGUAAUCUGAUAAAGGUGUCCCUUUUGCUUUCCGGCAGAGUCUGAGUGGUUAACCAGUUUUGCUGUGAACUGGUUUAUUUGUAACCCAAAUAAACCUGUUUCAAAUGACCCUGUUUCUUCCAGAAACUCUCCUAAGCCCUCCACUGCACAGGGUGUCACACCAUGGAAAAGGAGAGCAGAAAGAGGCUGAUAGGCUGGCAAAGGAGGGGUGAGGCUUGAAGAGAAAACCCUGAACUGCCCCUCGUAUUCUCAGUGAUAGCAUUUGCUGGCUGAGCAGGUGACAGCUCCCUCUUACCUCCACCUGGAAACGGGUCAGAACAACUAGGGCAAAAGCAGAAUCUGUAUUCAGGUACGUGUGCCCCUCCUGGGCUGCAGCAGUUUGCUCUUCUGUCUGUAUUCCCUCCCCUGAUAUACCCAAAUGUUCCAAGUGUCGGCUCCAUCGCUAAGUGCCUCCACCCAAGCUCCCUACAAACAACACAGGAAUGCAAACCACAAACUCUUACUGAAAUGUUUAUUAAGAUCGAAAUUCAGAACAACGGAUUGGAACACAAUGUCUUGUGGAGUAGAAUAUCUCUAAAUUGAUUUUUGUUUUCUAUGCAUAAAUGAAAAAAACCAAAACAAGAUUAUACAAAAAGAACAGAAAGUGCAGA